rnacentral:rRNA from 1 species
CGGAGUAAACGCAAAUUGACGUAGAGCUUUUGUUGGUCCGUCUCCGUGUGGGGUGGGGUGGGGUGUGGUCUGCAGGGAUAUGUAUAAGCAAGUCAAAGUCGAGAAGGACGAGGCGAGAACCGCUAGUGGAAAAGGGUAGAGUGGGGCGUGUUCGGUCAACGUGUGUCGCUCACCGUGUCUGGAACGGGCCGAUCGGUAGAGAGGCGUCGCUCGCUUCCGUCCGUCCCGCUACUUCGCGCAGCACCCCCCGGUCCCUGUACCUCGCCGUACCGCGACGCACACAGCGUCACGCAGAAGCGGCGGCGCAGGCGGCGGCGGUACAGGAGGCGGAAGCCGAGGGAGUUGAUGUCGCGGAUGAAGAUGGACCUAUGUCGCAACUGGGACGUCAAAGACACCUCAUACCCGAAACGAACGGCCCUGUAGAAACGAAACUCCUUGUUCUUCCUAGAAGUGUGGCGGGGCCUUGAAUAUGACUAGAAAUUAUAGCCGCUGACCCAGGACCGCUAAGAGUACAAGACCCGUAGGACGCGGCGCCGGUCGCACUGCUAGAAGAAGUCCUUCCUACACUUCAAGACGCGCCUCAUGACCGCCGACGGGACGUGGGUCAAGCUCGAAAGCCAGCGGGACCGCAAGUAGUGCACCAACGACGUCCGGCGCAGAAGAAAGAGGCCCAAGACCGAAGAGCAAAGGAACGAGAUCACUAGAGUGACGCGCGGAUCUUAGUGGCAGCGCAGCACGAUUAGCAGUCAGUCCUCGUCUUUAGUCAACGUCUCACGAGCCCUGUGCGAACAAUCUAAAGUCAAUACCCGCGCGUGGGAAGUAGUGAACUAUCAACCAUGUAUCUAACAGACAAACUAUCGAGUAGAAACAAAAUCCUCGAACAAUAGUCGCGGAAUCAAGACCAUUUUGAGAAGACAAUUACCUUGUUUUAAGGAUAUAAAACUGCACCUUACCUACCUCAUUAAUAACACC